rnacentral:rRNA from 1 species
GACGAACGCUGGCGGCGUGCCUAAUACAUGCAAGUAGGACGCAGUUGCGAACGGGUGAGUAACGCGUCGGUAACUGCCUAUUAGAGGGGGAUAACUAUUGGAAACGAUAGCUCAUACCGCAUACUAGUAGAUGGACCUGCUUUGUAUUAGCUAGUAGGUAGGGUAAUGGCCUACCUAGGCAACGCUACAUAACCGGCCUGGGAGGGUGAACGGCCACACUUGGACUGGGACACGGCCCAGACUCCUACGGGAGGCAGCAGUAGGGAAUCUUCGGAAAUGGGGGGAAACCUGACCGAGCAACGCCGCGUUAGUGAAGAAGGUUUUCGGAGCUUAAAGCUCUGUUGUUAAGGAAGCGUUACUGAACCAGAAAGGGACGGAUAACUACGUGCCAGCAGCCGCGGUAAUUC